UCCGACUUAACGUCGGCAGUCUGUUUAGAGUGCCCAACUAAAUGCUGGCAACUAAACACAAGGGUUGCGCUCGUUGCGGGACUUAACCCAACAUCUCACGACACGAGCUGACGACAGCCAUGCAGCACCUGUGUAUCGGCCCGAAGGCGACCUUAUUUCUAAGAGUCUUCCAAUACAUGUCAAACCCAGGUAAGGUUCUUCGCGUUGCAUCGAAUUAAACCACAUGCUCCACCGCUUGUGCGGGCCCCCGUCAAUUUCUUUGAGUUUUAAUCUUGCGACCGUACUUCCCAGGCGGGAUACUUAACGCGUUAGCUUCGGCACUGAAGGGGUCAAUACCUCCAACACCAAGUAUCCAUCGUUUAUGGCGUGGACUAC
rnacentral:misc_RNA from 1 species